UGGGGAAUAUUGGACAAUGGGCGCAAGCCUGAUCCAGCCAUGCCGCGUGAGUGACGAAGGCCUUAGGGUUGUAAAGCUCUUUUGGCGGGGAAGAUAAUGACGGUACCCGCAGAAUAAGCUCCGGCUAACUUCGUGCCAGCAGCCGCGGUAAUACGGAGGGUGCAAGCGUUAUCCGGAUUCACUGGGUUUAAAGGGUGCGUAGGUGGGUAUGUAAGUCAGUGGUGAAAUCCCCGAGCUUAACUUGGGAACUGCCAUUGAUACUAUAUAUCUUGAAUACCGUAGAGGUAAGCGGAAUAUGUCAUGUAGCGGUGAAAUGCUUAGAUAUUACAUGGAACACCAAUUGCGAAGGCAGCUUACUAUGCGGUGAUUGACACUGAGGCACGAAAGCGUGGGUAGCAAACA
rnacentral:rRNA from 1 species